GACCCGUUCACAAGUUGCUUAGGUUUUGCCACUUGCAAUACAGAGAUUCUCAGAGAUGAAGUGGUCCGGAUAAUGCCUUGGUGUUGCAGACACAUUGUUACUAUUUUUUGUAUCACCUUUUACUAUUUUUCAUAUGCACUUUAUUUAAAGUUUAGCUAGAUUCGUUUAUCUCUUUGGCUUCAUACAAGGUUUACGUAGUUGAUUAUUCAUCCUGAACCUUGUCAUUACUGUUCAGGUACAUCUCCGAGUAAGGCUUCGAGUCUCAAAGCCAUCACCAACUGUUACGGGAUUACUACCUAUAGAAAGUUACGCAAACUCUUGAAUAUGUGUUUACUCUGGUUAAUAAAGGGCAAUGGAAAGCAUAUAGGAAAAUGACAUGGAAAAUAGAGACGGGGGAUGUGCCAAGUAGUAUUGCGUCUAAAGAUUAAGCAUUUUAGUGUCCAACUGAGCAAAGGUUAUUACAUCACAUGCCCCUAUAUGCUUUAUUAGAUCUCAACCUGUGGAAGUAUUCUAAACACUACACUUGUGUGCAAAAUUUCAAAGACUUGUCUUUAAGAUCUCAGAGGAUACGACACUCUCUAGGUUUGAGGACUAGCUCCAGUUACGCUUUUGGGUCCAGUGGAUGUAUGAUACCCAUUUUGUGGUCCAAAAAGAAUGAGAUUUGAUGGACGCUCUAGUGGCCAAAUUCAUGUGGCUUCCUUCACUCUAUGCUUUUAGAGCUGAAAAAUUUACGGAAAGCCUAUUUCCUUGAAGAGAACAAGAGUCGAGGGACCAUAUAAAGCUUGUAGUUGUUCGUAUUGUGCGGAUUCUCCACUUUCCACGGUUGUGAGAAUAUGAGGAAAAGUGCAAAAGUGCAGUGUGAGCUUCGCAUUGGCUCUUAAAUUCGUUGUGCUUCAAGUGGUUGUCGUUGCAUCUUACAAAUUCCUGACAAGAAAUUUAGUAGAAACUUAACUACUAGUUCACGUUUCCUUGGUGAUGAUAUGCUAGUAUUAGAUGCAAACGGCGAUACCUUUGCUUUGCUUGCUAGCUAGGUUUAUAUUUAUGUGGUGCAUGAUCAAACCAGAUCACUGAACACGUUUUCUGAUGGUCUGAGAACUUGCUGCAGUGAACACGUAUGGCUUCAGUGAAUGAAUGAAAUCCAUUAAUGUGGUCCAAAAGCAACCUAUUUUACAAUACACUGGUGGGUAAGUUCAUGUACACUGACUCAGGUAUGGCUAUCCUAGUGGUAGAUAAGUUGAGCUCUGUGGCCCUUUCCAGGUGGCAGAAAGUGAAGGCUUUACAGUGUUACUCUUUUUCCUUUGCUGCCUCGUUUAUUCUUUAAUGCGAACCUUGUAAAAGUGAGCUAUUAUUCUAAAAG